rnacentral:rRNA from 1 species
UACGUAGGGUGCAAGCGUUGUCCGGAAUUAUUGGGCGUAAAGAGCUCGUAGGCGGUUUGUCGCGUCUGCUGUGAAAACUCGGGGCUUAACUCCGGGCCUGCAGUGGGUACGGGCAGACUAGAGUGCGGUAGGGGAGACUGGAAUUCCUGGUGUAGCGGUGAAAUGCGCAGAUAUCAGGAGGAACACCGGUGGCGAAGGCGGGUCUCUGGGCCGUAACUGACGCUGAGGAGCGAAAGCGUGGGGAGCGAAGAGG